rnacentral:rRNA from 1 species
ACGUAGGUACCGAGCGUUAUCCGGAUUUACUGGGCGUAAAGCGUGUUCAGGCGGCCUGGCAAGUCGGGCAUGAAAUCUCUCGGCUCAACCGAGAGAGGCUGUCCGAUACUGCUGGGCUUGAGGACGGUAGAGGGUGGUGGAAUUCCGCGUGUAGUGGUGAAAUGCGUAGAUAUGCGGAGGAACACCAGUGGCGAAGGCGGCCACCUGGACCGUCCCUGACGCUCAAACACGGAAAGCUAGGGUAGCGAAC